CCAGGGAAAGUGGCAGCCCGACCCGGCAAUUGUGAGUGGCGCCUCGUGGGAAGAGACGCCCGUUGCGCUGAUGUAGAGACGCACACUGCCUCGUAGACGUCACUCGAUGGAGGAGGACGAGCUCAGCAGAAUGUCAGCUGCCUGAGUGCCCGUAGAUGAUGACACGCACACACGCACGCAACAAAAAUCCUGCAGACCCAGGCGGGGAAAAUUAGCCAUUAUAUAUGCCACCUUGCUCGUGUCUCUCUCCCAAGGCAGUGCAUAAAUCUGGCUUACGUCCGGAGCGAUAUGGAUAACGAACACUCGCGCCUCUAACCCCGCCCCACCACACACCCCUCCUCAAGAACACGCGAAGAAGCUGUCUGUGUCUGUGAGAGUCGGUGAGUGCCUUCGUGACAUGUAGGACGUGUAACAAACGCACCCAAUGCAGUCAAGGUGGGGAGAAAUAGGAAAACAGAGACAGUUUGUGUGGUGAUGAUAGAGACGUGAAGGCGUGUGUUAGCGCCUCACUUGUGCUGUGUUUGGGAGCGUGUACCUGUGCAUCGCUAACCGUUCACCGCCACCGCCACCACCACCGCCACCACCACCAGCAACAACAACAACAACAACACCGCCAUCGCCGCCCACAAUGCUACCCUCGCUAGGACGCCUUCUUACCCUCCUCGCCUGCUGCCUCGGCGUCACCCUCGCCCCCGCCGCAGCUUAUCGUAAAGACCAAGUGAUAUCGAAGUACAACAACCUUCGCACUUACUUCAUGAAGGAGUACCGCAAAGUGCAGGCAACCCCAAGUGGAUCAGCUGGUCAUUAUACUUCAAAGUAGGAGUUAUUUGAUAUUAUGUCUUUUUUGAAGGACACAUUAAAUAACUAUAUCACAAAGGCCAGUGCUCCCUUCACUGCAGAGGCAAACGUGUCACUGGACAGCUGCUCCAUCCUCAUUCAUGAAGAUGGGACACAGGAGCCAUGCAUAAUAUCCCCCAGCAGCUGUUCAAGUGAUUCAUUUUUAUACUCUUCUACCCCAUCGCCAUCCUGUACUAUCUCAUUACCUCCAUCAUUACCUGAAGGUAGUGCAACCCAGCCACAGGCACCUUCAGUGGCAGGCAGUGCAUUGCUGUCAACAACGGGAAUGCCACCUGUGUCCUCCUGUGGUACUACAACAGUGACUAAGAAGAGGAAGAGGAAUGACAUGAGUGACAUAGAGGAUGACUGCAGAGAAGCCCUACGAAACCUCAAACAGACUCCUCAAGAAAAUGACGAUUUCAGCGCAAGUUUUGGCAGGGCGGUCGGUCACUGGAUGCGCGACUUACCUGCUGGUGAAAGGAUAUCAGCAGUCUUCAAGAUAAUGGAGGUCAUGAAGAGUCACGAUUUUUGUUGAUAGGUAAAGUCAGGUAAAAG